UUUUUAGUAUAAGUAUGUCCCAUGCAACAUCCGGGAUAUACUUAUACUAAAA
rfam:Canis lupus familiaris chromosome 7, whole genome shotgun sequence.